rnacentral:rRNA from 1 species
AGGAUAAACGCUGGCGGCGUGCCUAACACAUGCAAGUCGAACGUCUCUUCUUUCGGGAAGAGGAGUGGCGGACGGGUGAGGAACACGUGGGAACCUGCCCUUUAGUGAGGAAUACCGGCGAGAAAUCGCCGACAAGACCGCAUAGCCCUCUUUGAUGAGAGUCAAAGAAGGAAAGCUUCGCAAGAGGCGCUAGAGGAGGGGCCUGCGUCCGAUUAGCUAGUUGGUGGGGUAAGAGCCUACCAAGGCGUCGAUCGGUAGCUGGUCUGAGAGGACGAUCAGCCACACUGGGAUUGAGAACGGCCCAGACUCCUACGGGGGCAGCAGUGAGGAAUUUUCGGCAAUGGGGGAAACCCUGACCGAGCAACGCCGCGUGCAGGAAGACGGCCUUCGGUUGUAAACUGCUUUCUUUGGUAAGAGAACGGACGGUACCAGAGGAAUCAGCCCGGCUCACUACGUGCCAGCAGCCGC